rnacentral:rRNA from 1 species
UACGGAGGGGGCUAGCGUUGUUCGGAAUUACUGGGCGUAAAGCGCACGUAGGCGGAUCAGUCAGUCAGGGGGUGAAAAUCCCCGGGGGCUCAACCCCCGGAACUGCCUUUUGAUACUGCUGGUCUUGAGGUCGAGAGAGGUGAGUGGAAUUCCGAGUGUAGAGGUGAAAUUCGUAGAUAUUCGGAGGAACACCAGUGGCGAAGGCGGCUCACUGGCUCGAUACUGACGCUGAGGUGCGAAAGCGUGGGGAGCAAACAGGA